rnacentral:rRNA from 1 species
CCCGGCUGAUCCUGCCGGAGAUCACCGUUAUCAGAAUUCGACUAAGCCAUGCGAGGCGCGAGCUAUUUGGGCUCGCCGAACUGCUCAGUAACACGUAGCUAACAUGCCCUCAAGUGGGAGAUAAUCUUGCGAAAGUGAGGCUAAUAUCCCAUAGCUGUUAGAUGCUGGAAUGCUUUAACAGUCAAAGCUCCGGCGCAUGAGGAUUGGGCUGCGGCCUAUCAUGGCUGUUGUGAGUGUAAAGUACUCACAAACCUGUAACGGGUAGGGGUCAUGAGAGUGGGAGCCUCGAGAUGCCUUCUGAGCCAUGAAGGCAGGUCCUACGGGACGCAGCAGGCGCGAAAACUUUCCAAUGGUUUAACGACUGAGAAGGGAAUCCUGAGUGCUUGCAUUUUAUGCAAGCUUUUAUCCUGCCCAAAAAGCAGGGUGAAUAAGCGGUGGGUAAGACGGGUGGCAGCCGCCGCGGUAAUACCCGCGCCACGAAUGGUGAUCACGAUUAUUGGGUCUAAAGAGUCCGUAGCCGGUCCAAAAAGUUCCUGGUGAAAUCCGCUAGCAGACUAGCAGGCUUGCUGGGAAUACUGUUGGACUUGGGAUCGGGAUAGGAUAGGGGUAUUCUUUGGGUAGGGGUUAAAUCCUUUAAUCCAUGGAAGACCUCCGGUGGCGAAGGCGCCUAUCUGGAACGAGUCCGACGGUGAGGGACGAAAGCGUGGGGAGCAAACGGGAUUAGAUACCCCGAUAGUCCACGCUGUAAACGAUGCCCGCUUGAUGUUGCAAACUUUACGAGAGCUUGCAGUGUCGGAGCGUAGGUGUUAAGCGGGCCACCUGGGGAGUACGGCCGCAAGGUUGAAACUUAAGGGAAUUGGCGGGAGAGCACACAAGGGGUGGAGGCUGCGGUUUAAUUGGAUUAAACGCCGGACAUCUCACGAGGAUUGACAGCAGAAUGAAGGUCCUCCCAAUGGGCGUACCAGACAAGCUGAGAGGUGUUGCAUGGCCAUCGUCAGCUCGUACCUUGAGGCGUGCGGUCAAGUUCGUUAACGAGCGAGACCCAUGCUGUCAUUUGCUACCGCAUUUUCAGAUUAUAUCAAAAAAGUGCGGGCACUAUGGCAGGACCGCUAGCGAUAAGCUAGAGGAAGGAGUGGGCGACGGUAGGUCCGUAUGGCCCGGAUAUCCUCGGCUACACGCGGCCUACAAUGGUUGAGACAAUGCGUUGCAACUCCGAAAGGAGAAGCCGAUCGCCUAAACUCAACCUCAGUUCGGAUUGAGGGCUGCAACUCGCCCUCAUGAAGCCGGAAUCCCUAGUAAGCAAACGUCAUAACCGUUCGCUGAAUACGUCCCAGCUCUUUGCACACACCGCCUGUCAAGCCAUGCGAGUAGAUUCUUGGUGAGGCUUGGCUUUAACCAAUUCGAGCCAAGAGUUUGCAAGUGGGGCUAAGCCAUAACAAGGUA